UAUAUUUUAAUAUACGAUGUAUUUAAGAUUUUGAUUCUUAAUGAAAUGGUUUAAUUCCAUUAAAUAUAA
rnacentral:tRNA from 1 species